CAGAGAGACGAAGAAACACAUCAACAGCAAGCCAAAACCAAUGCUUGGAUUAGAUCAGUAGCGGAAUUCAGGAUAUCUUUGCUAUAUAAAAGCCUGUCUAACAAUUGUGCAGGUAGGAAGUAAUGUGUAGAGCUUUAAGGUGGCUAUAAAAGCUCAGCUGGUGAUACUCUGAUACUGCUCAUAUGACACCUUCAAGAACCUUUAGUGAAAACUGCUGUUAAGACUAAAACUUAUCAAAGUGUGAACGUAUGUGAAGCCCCUCUUGAGACAAGUUACAUCUGUAUGGAAAUGAAAUCUGCUUGUGAAGUGCCAAGAAAUCCAGAUGUUUCCCUCAUUCUUCUGCAAUGAUUGGAGGCUGUAAGAAUGGAGAUGUUUAGAUUCCCAUAGCCUCUUUCCCUUUCCUAAUUUCCAGGAGGUGAAGACCAUUGCUCCCUCUGCCAGUUUGAUUCCCACAGCAAGAAUUCAAAGGCUAGCUUGAGACAUCUGCCAUCUAGCUGAAGAAUAGAACCAAUGGAAGAAGGCAGAAGUCCCUUUGAGUUCACAUCUUCUGAGAAAUAAUCUCCAAAGGAGAAGCGUUUAGAGCUAAAUUGUCCUUGUUUCCUGUUGUAAUUGUAAUUGUUGUUGUCAGCCCUCUAUCAGUUUUGAUAUAAGAAGAGCCAACCCAUUAAAGAAAAGAUGGAUUUCUAACCUCAUGUUCAAUUUGACUUACAGAUACAUGAAAUAAUUUGCAUAAGAUAUUUCCAUUAAUUAAAGAUGCUAUUUCCAAUUACUCUCUUAACCUAUCUCUCCUAAAUACCUCU